rnacentral:rRNA from 1 species
CCUACGUGUGGCAGCAGUAGGGAAUAUUGCUCAAUGGGGGAAACCCUGAUGCAGCAACGCCGCGUGGAGGAUGAAGGUUUUCGGAUUGUAAACUCCUUUUGUUAGAGAAGAUAAUGACGGUAUCUAACGAAUAAGCACCGGCUAACUCCGUGCCAGCAGCCGCGGUAAUACGGAGGGUGCAAGCGUUACUCGGAAUCACUGGGCGUAAAGGGCGCGUAGGCGGGGUAGCAAGUCAGAUGUGAAAGCCUAGGGCUUAACCAUAGAACUGCAUUUGAAACUGUUAUUCUAGAGUAUGGGAGAGGGAGGUGGAAUUCUUGGUGUAGGGGUAAAAUCCGUAGAGAUCAAGAGGAAUACUCAUGGCGAAGGCGAGCUGCUAGAACAUAACUGACGCUGAGGCGCGAAAGCGUGGGGAGCAAACGGGAUUAGAUACCCGGGUAGUC